AUUGAACGCUGGCGGCAUGCUUUACACAUGCAAGUCGAACGGCAGCGCGGGCUUCGGCCUGGCGGCGAGUGGCGAACGGGUGAGUAAUACAUCGGAACGUGCCCAGUAGUGGGGGAUAGCUCGGCGAAAGCCGGAUUAAUACCGCAUACGACCUGAGGGUGAAAGCGGGGGAUCUUCGGACCUCGCGCUAUUGGAGCGGCCGAUGGCAGGUUAGCUAGUUGGUGGGGUAAAGGCCUACCAAGGCGACGAUCUGUAGCUGGUCUGAGAGGACGACCAGCCACACUGGAACUGAGACACGGCCCAGACUCCUACGGGAGGCAGCAGUGGGGAAUUUUGGACAAUGGGCGAAAGCCUGAUCCAGCAAUGCCGCGUGUGUGAUGAAGGCCUUCGGGUUGUAAAGCACUUUUGGCGGGAACGAAAAGGACUGUGCCAAUACCACGGUUCGAUGACGGUACCCGCAGAAUAAGCACCGGCUAACUACGUG
rnacentral:rRNA from 1 species